CCUACGGGGGCUGCAGUGGGGAAUAUUGGACAAUGGGCGAAAGCCUGAUCCAGCCAUGCCGCGUGUGUGAAGAAGGCCUUCGGGUUGUAAAGCACUUUCAGUGGGGAAGAAAGCCUUGGGGCUAAUACCCUCGAGGAAGGACAUCACCCACAGAAGAAGCACCGGCUAACUCCGUGCCAGCAGCCGCGGUAAUACGGAGGGUGCGAGCGUUAAUCGGAAUUACUGGGCGUAAAGCGCGCGUAGGCGGUCUGAUAAGCCGGUUGUGAAAGCCCCGGGCUCAACCUGGGAACGGCAUCCGGAACUGUCAGGCUAGAGUGCAGGAGAGGAAGGUAGAAAUCCCGGUGUAGCGGUGAAAUGCGUAGAGAUCGGGAGGAAUACCAGUGGCGAAGGCGGCCUUCUGGACUGACACUGACGCUGAGGUGCGAAAGCGUGGGUAGCAAACAGGAUUAGAUACCCGAGUAGUC
rnacentral:rRNA from 1 species